CCUGUCGUUUUCCCGACAGUAGUCUAGGAGGGCAGGCGUGACCGGUAACGGUUGGGUCUGAAGCCCCUUUGACAAUGUAACCCAUUCCGAAAGGAUGAAGCCGAAGCCGUGAGGUAGAAGUGGAACUGUGAGCAUUACGCGGUAGGGAAC
rfam:Gallionella sp. ShG14-8 contig00125, whole genome shotgun sequence.